rnacentral:lncRNA from 1 species
CCGACAGGUGCAUGGAGAGCCACGUGGACCGCAAGAACGCUUUUCCUGCGGUUCUCACGGUCCACGAUGGAUCGAAGUGGUUUCUCAAGCGAUUCCCUGGGUAUUUGCACGAUUAGACGGAUGAGGGAUGAUCCUGCAUGUGAUCCAAUGGCUCUGGGAGGUCCUGAUCAUGAUCUGGAUGAUUGGGAGGCUUGAUCGAGCUACAAGAUACGUGAUCUGAUGGCGGAGAAGUCUUGCAGUAUGGAUCGAAUGGCGUAUUCACUAGGGUUUGGGUUUGGGCCUUAUAAGAAGGCCGAUGGCCUGAGGAACAAAGGGUCUCAAAAGCUUCGGAAUCUCAAUAGGGUGACGCAAAGGCCGAGGCAAGGAGCGCUGAGCAUGCAGUAGCGCAUCCUUGGUGGCAUGAGGCUGAGAGAGGCUCGAUAACGGUGCAGUGCCGAGAAAGGUAUCUCAGGAAGAUCGUCAGUAGGUCUCAAAGAGUGCCAGAGGCAUCAGACAGUCGGGAAUGUCUUGAGGACGGCCUGUAGAGUGGCUGUAAGGGUAGAGACAAGCUGGGGCAUGAUGUAACGGCUGAGAGUCUCACAGGAAGUAUCCAGAGGUGUUGAGGAUCCUGGUACUGUAGACUAUGAGAGAGCCCUCUUGGGAUUAAUUUGAGAGCAUUGUAUGGGUGAGUGCUUCGAGGUUGAGAGAGAGGGUUGAGAGUUGAGAUUGUAUCUCCUCUGUACUUUAUUCUUUCUCAGAAAUGAAGCCUUGCAUGUCCCAUGGAUGUAGGCACUUGGGCCGAACCACGUAAAUUGAUUGUAUGUCCUGUUUAUUUCUUCUUUCUUGCUUC